rnacentral:rRNA from 1 species
ACGCGAAGAACCUUACCAGGUCUUGACAUCCCGGUGACCACUAUGGAGACAUAGUUUCCCCUUCGGGGGCAACGGUGACAGGUGGUGCAUGGUUGUCGUCAGCUCGUGUCGUGAGAUGUUGGGUUAAGUCCCGCAACGAGCGCAACCCUUAUUCUUAGUUGCCAUCAUUCAGUUGGGCACUCUAAGGAGACUGCCGGUGAUAAACCGGAGGAAGGUGGGGAUGACGUCAAAUCAUCAUGCCCCUUAUGACCUGGGCUACACACGUGCUACAAUGGACGGUACAAACGGUUGCCAACCCGCGAGGGGGAGCUAAUCCGAUAAAACCGUUCUCAGUUCGGAUUGUAGGCUGCAACUCGCCUACAUGAAGCCGGAAUCGCUAGUAAUCGCGGAUCAGCAUGCCGCGGUGAAUACGUUCCCG